UACGUAGGGUGCGAGCGUUGUCCGGAAUUAUUGGGCGUAAAGAGCUCGUAGGCGGUCUGUCGCGUCGAUUGUGAAAACUUGGGGCUUAACCCUGAGCUUGCGGUCGAUACGGGCAUGACUGGAGUUCGGCAGGGGAGACUGGAAUUCCUGGUGUAGCGGUGAAAUGCGCAGAUAUCAGGAGGAACACCGGUGGCGAAGGCGGGUCUCUGGGCCGAUACUGACGCUGAGGAGCGAAAGCGUGGGGAGCGAACAGG
rnacentral:rRNA from 1 species